rnacentral:rRNA from 1 species
UACAGAGGUCCCGAGCGUUGUUCGGAUUCAUUGGGCGUAAAGGGUGCGUAGGCGGCGGGGCAAGUCUGAUGUGAAAUCCCGGGGCUCAACCCCGGAACUGCAUUGGAUACUGCCUUGCUAGAAUACUGGAGAGGGAACUGGAAUUUACGGUGUAGCAGUGAAAUGCGUAGAGAUCGUAAGGAAGGCCAGUGGCGAAGGCGAGUUCCUGGACAGUUACUGACGCUGAGGCACGAAGGCCAGGGGAGCAAACGGG